GGAGUAGCAGGUACCCAUAAAUUUUCCCUCUUAGAUGUGAGGUGCUUCAAAAGAGAUAUACAGCUCCUGGGACAUAGUGUGAGGAAAUGGAAAGGGCGGAGCAGCACUGCAAGUUCCAAGACCUCUUCACCACACUGUGGUCACAGCAUGGCCCAGCACCAUUGCCUUCUUCCAGUGGCAUCUAAGGCACAGGUAAAGAAGCUUCUACCUGUAGAAUGUCCAAGAUCCAGCACAUACACUGCUUUCCUUAUCCAGCAGUGUCUUACCCAUACAACAUCCUUCUGCCACUGAAAUCAUCUGGGUCCAAUGUCUCUUUGCUUCCCUACCAACAGAACUAUCAGCCGUGGCAAUCAUCUCUCUCCAUCAAUCCCUUUGCUACUUCCCAGCAGCAUCCAUCCAGCAGCCCUCUCCAGCACUGCACUAGCUCGCACCUCCGCUCUUCUGUGGUUGAGUAAUGUGUGUUGCUCACCAGUCUGAAGGUUGUUUGCAAGCAUGUAUAAAAUUGCACACAGGGCAUGAGGCACCUUUUGGAAGCGUUGUUUCACUCCCAGUCUGAGCCAAUAUAAUGAGGAGAAUAAUAAUAACAAAAUCAAAGGAACAGUUGUGGCUGAGGCACAUAAAACAUUUCAGCUCGUGGAAAAUGCCUACAGUCAAGGAAUGACUGCACAGCAUGUGGAAAUGAACGACUGAGGUCUGGAAUAUGGUUUGGUUUAUAUCGCCAUAGGUUUCAUACUGGAUAGCAAAAGCCUGCAAACAGAUCGAAAUAGCAGGGGAAUUUACCUAGAAAAUGCUGCCUUACAGAGCUAUGAGAACAUGGAACGUUAAAAAUUCACAGUCAAUGAGGGGUCAAGAGAGAUAUUUAACCUUUCUGGGACUGUAUGCAUAUGAAAAACUUGUGUGAGAUGGUUACAAGCUUUGAAGAAAGCUGACCCAUUUUGCUGUUUAAAAUAUUCUGAGACUAACUUGGAGACCUAUCUGAUGCCACCUAUAUAUAAUGACCUAGAUUUUAAAAACUGUUGGGAGGCAGACGUCUGGAAACCUGCCGUGAAUGUUAGCAUUUUCCAUAUAAAGAUCGCGUAUAAACUUGCAGUUUACUAAUUUUACUUAGUAAAGGCUAAAAUGCUUUAAGGACUUCUCAGUUGUAUUAUUGGGAUUGUCUUGUUUUGAAGUGGCUAACACCCAUCCUUUCCCAGGCAGAUUCCUGUCCUAAAGAAUGCUCAGGUAAGCAUAGGUCUAAAGUCAUUACUAUCUAAUAACUGUAUAGAUGUCUGUAGGCCAUAUCUUAAUAUGCUUAUUAUGUAGAUGGAUGUCACUGUCAUAAGAUUCAUGGGCACCAUUAGUGCCCGCUCCCUGAGUUAUCACAGUGACCAACAAAUGAAGCAGUGAAAAGAAUGAAUUAUUUUGCCAAGAUGAAACACUCAGAAUAAAACAGGCAUGUGAUGAUCAGGAUGAAGCAAUUUAGAGGAUGGCUUCCCCUCUCCUCAGAUUAACAAGCUUCAGUCCACAGGUUUGUCUUCCCAGCUAUAUACUCUGGGACUCACUCAACCAUCCCAAGCAUGGACUAUGUGAAGUGGCAUUUCUAGAGUUCAGCAGGCAGGCUGCCAAAAGAAUCUCCUCUACUCCUCUUUUAACAUGAAUUUCUAUGAGUUGGGGAAACAAAAUUAAGCAGUUGUAUAAGAGGGAAUUGCUGGCAGAAAAUAUUGGUUUUGGGGAAAAAAGGAAACUGAAAUGUCUCAUUUUGGAUUUUAAAUAGGAAAAAUAUCCCAGAGCCUCUUAAGGCUCAUGGAUCCAGAGAUCAGUAGAAACAAUAAGUGGUAAGCCUUAAAAAAAUAAAUAAACUGGGGGGGGGGGGAAAUUUGUAAAAAUAAGCAAAAGCAAGUUAAAGAGUAAUUAGUGAGCUAAAUAAUACUGAACUCCAAAAAAUAUUUUGGCUGACAGCAAAGGGACACAAAUAUGUUUUUAGUGGAAGCCGACCAAAGAUAACUAAAAGUUGGUCCAUGGGAGAAUAAUUGGCUUGAUUGUCACAGCUAAUUAAAUAUGUUUUGAGAUUAUGAAAUCAGUUGUGUGAUACUGCUGAAAUGGCUCAUAAAGCAGGCAUUUCUACAGGAUGCUAAUGAGAGUUUGCUAGGAAAAGGUUUGAUUAGAAUUUGUUCUUGAAAACCUCUCUGCACAGCUUUUGGAGACCAGUAUACACAUGGAAACAGAGGAAAGUAGAAUUAAGUAUCAGCAUUUUUCUCCCACGGUUUCAUGAAAAACUUAGUGAAUCACUCUAAUCCCCUGCAAGUCUUGCAAGUACAAUCCCUGUUGCACAAACAAGGAUGACUCCAGACACAACAAUUAUGUCUUGAGAAAUAUCAAGUUAGAUCAUCUUUCACCCGGACAAAUAAAGACCAGAAAAGAUAAAAUACUGUAAAAGUAUGUUAUCCGUUUAAGCAGAUGUAAAGGAAUAAUACAUGUUACAAUAGUAACGCUGAAAGAAGUCAGGGCUAAUCUUAAAGUGAUUUUUGUUGUGCAGAACAAUAUGCUAGCAGACGUGCGUGCUACGAAUCAGAACAUACCAGAUGCUUGUUCAGAUUAAUCUUUGCAAAGAUUAACUCUUUAUUAACACAAUAAAUUUUAAAGCUUCGGCUUCUCAGAUGAACACACUUUGAAGUACCACCUGUAAAUAUUUGCAACUCUUCUUAUUUGCUGGCUGCAGUCCUGCUAGUAUGAGAAGAUGUUCCUUGAGUCUACUUAAGUUCCGCAUCAGAGGGGACUUCCACCUCUUUUAUGCUGGCCCCGCAACAGAACACAAUGGGUUUGGACAAGGCAAGCAUCGAGGGCAUUUGAGUGGCAACUGGAGGGAUCAGAUGGAAACCCCAUGCAAAAGAAGGCCUGCAGUGGGGCAGAGGGUGCAAAGAGCCUGAGCAGAAAGCAAGCAAAAGCUGGGAAUGGAUAGAAAACCAAUGCUGCCAGACCUGAUGCUUUAACAUCAUCUGACUAACAUCCAGUAAUUUUCACUUAACUGUUCUUUCUUACAGCUGCAACACAGAGAAAUUUUGCCAAAGCCUUACAUUCUUAGCAGCACUUUUGUAGUGGAGGAUUUAAACCUCACAGAAACCAAGAUGGUACUGCUGGCAACAGAAUGAGUUUUGUACCUUUUUUUUUUUUUAACCGAAAAUGGAAAUAAACUUUUGUAGUAUAUAUUGCAAUGUCCAAAAUUGACUAGUUAUUGCCUAUCAUAUACUCCAAUUUUACUUAAGAACAUGCAGCCACUUAACCAUCUCAGAGCUUGCAAGUUCAACUUCCCAACAAUUUAUAGUUCAUGCCUUCCACAGACAUGACAAGAGUCAAUCCCAGAAGUUAAAUGAGCCGCAUCCUUUGUGAAUAUACCAGCCCCCAGACAUCUGCAGAAGGCCUGAGAAAAUAGUUAGUAGUAUGAUCCAGAAGGUCAAUAAACUGUUCCUUUCAGACCUGCAUUAUUUUGGAAUUGGAGAUAAAAGCCAGGAUGUGAGCUUUCUAAGGCCAUUACUUCUCUAUCUGUAGUUGCACAUUCAUAAACUGUCUAAACACAGUUUAAGGCUACGUAAAGUCUUCAGCUUUUUACGGUUAUUUGAUAUUUCCUAAUUACAAUUCCCCUCAGUGACAGCCUGAUUGAAAUUCCUACGAUCCCUGUUGUAGUUGUUUUGCAGGCUUCCUUUAUCUACAUAAACAUUUCCUGUUCUUCUUUCUCAUCCACCCCCACCCCCAUCCUAUAAUGGCUUCGUAUCAUCUUUUUUUCACCAUUUCUUUCACUUAAGUCCAAAUUGUUUUUCACUGGUGACAGCUCUGUCUGUGAUAUUUCUUGCUUUAGAAAUACAUCACAGCUUCUCACCAAGUGAAGAGUUUUUCUGUGUGCUAUGAAAUUCUUUAGACAGAAUGUGUAGCAUAAUGUUUAAAAUUCUUGGCUGCAUCUUAAUUUGACCAGAGCUCAAGCGCAUCUGGUUCAUUGUAUUGUUGCGAUGGCACCACUCCCUUCUGCAUGCUCAUAACAUACAGAGGAUUUGUUGCACAAGGGAAUCUCUCAAAACUAAAAGUAACUUUCUUUUACCACUACUUUUUCAAAAAAAAACCCUGCUACACUAGUAUUCCAAUCCUGCUGCAGGAGCCAUUCCACAAGCACAAGUUCUAUGUCCUACCCUUUUUUAAUCUAUUUGUGCAAUUCGUUCGUUAUUGUGCA